GACGAACGCUGGCGGCAGGCCUAACACAUGCAAGUCGAACGAGGUAGCAAUACCUAGUGGCGGACGGGUGAGUAACGCGUGGGAACGUGCCCCUUGGUACGGAAUAGCCCUGGGAAACUGGGAGUAAUACCGUAUGUGGUCGAGAGACGAAAGAUUUAUCGCCAAGGGAUCGGCCCGCGUUGGAUUAGGUAGUUGGUGGGGUAAUGGCCUACCAAGCCGACGAUCCAUAGCUGGUUUGAGAGGAUGAUCAGCCACACUGGGACUGAGACACGGCCCAGACUCCUACGGGAGGCAGCAGUGGGGAAUCUUAGACAAUGGGGGAAACCCUGAUCUAGCCAUGCCGCGUGAUCGAUGAAGGCCUUAGGGUUGUAAAGAUCUUUCAGUGGGGAAGAUAAUGACGGUACCCACAGAAGAAGCCCCGGCUAACUCCGUGCCAGCCGCCGCAGUAA
rnacentral:rRNA from 1 species